UGCCCUAGUAACGGCGAGUGAAGCGGCAAGAGCUCAAAUUUGAAAGCUGGCCCCCUCGGGGUCCGCAUUGUAAUUUGCAGAGGAUGCUUCGGGAACGGCCCCCAUCUAAGUGCCCUGGAACGGGCCGUCAUAGAGGGUGAGAAUCCCGUCUGGGAUGGGGUGGCCGCGCCCGUGUGAAGCUCCUUCGACGAGUCGAGUUGUUUGGGAAUGCAGCUCUAUUGGGUGGUAAAUUUCAUCUAAAGCUAAAUAUUGGCCGGAGACCGAUAGCGCACAAGUAGAGUGAUCGAAAGAUGAAAAGCACUUUGAAAAGAGAGUUAAACAGCACGUGAAAUUGUUGAAAGGGAAGCGCUUGCGACCAGACUCGCCCGCGGGGUUCAGCCGGCACUCGUGCCGGUGUACUUCCCCGCGGGCGGGCCAGCGUCGGUUUGGGCGGCCGGUCAAAGGCCUCUGGAAGGUAACGCCUCUCGGGGCGUCUUA
rnacentral:rRNA from 1 species